rnacentral:rRNA from 1 species
GAUGAACGCUGGCGGCGUGCAUAACACAUUCAAGUCGAACGAAGCAGCAAUGCUGAGUGGCGGACGGGUGAGUAACGCGUGAGCAACCUGCCUGUAAUUGCGGAAUAACACAGGGAAACCUGUGCUAAUACGGCAUAAAGCAGCGAUACCGCAUGGUAAAGCUGCCAAAGAGAAAUUGAUUACAGAUGGGCUCGCGUCUGAUUAGCCUAGUUGGCGGGUAAAGGCCCACCAAGGCUGAGAUGGGUAGCUGGUCUGAGAGGAUGAUCAGCCACACUGGAACUGGAACACGGUCCAGACUCCUACGGGAGGCAGCAGUGAGGAAUUUUGCGCAAUGGGGGAAACCCUGACGCAGCAACGCCGCGUGAGUGAUGAAGGCCUUGGUCGUAAGACUCUGUCGAGU